rfam:Gossypium raimondii Chr02_contig_334, whole genome shotgun sequence.
UAUUAAAAUUUUUAUUUAUUUAUUUUAUUAAAAAUUGAUAUGGUUGACAAAAUAGUGAAACGAAUACAUAGGGCGUGCUACAUGUUCCUUAUUAUGAUGUACAAAGACUAAUUUUUAACAAUAGAAAUGGAUGGAAUUUUUAAUA